CAUCGAUGAAGAACGUAGCGAAAUGCGAUACUUGGUGUGAAUUGCAGAAUCCCGCGAACCAUCGAGUCUUUGAACGCAAGUUGCGCCCGAGGCCCCCCGGCCGAGGGCACGCCUGCCUGGGCGUCACGCCUCGCGUCGCUCCGCGCGCAGCCCCGCGCGCGGACGCGGACACUGGCCCUCCG
rnacentral:rRNA from 1 species